UUUUGCAGCCACAUCAGUUUCUGAUUAGACUUACAAUUAAAGUGGGGAAGUGACUUUGGAAGAGACAUGCAUGCUGUCAGCAGAUGGGAGAGGGGAUCGAGAAAGAUGGAGGGAGGCUGCUGUAACACCUGUUCUGAUUGGGAUUCUGAAUGAAUAUGAAAGGUAAGCAGAAACCCAAUUAGUAACCCCUGAACUCGCUCCAUGUUAUCUCUGCAAACACACACUCUCUUCCAUCCUGUGCUUCCAAAGGAUAGCAGGCUUCCUGACAAGCUAUUGUAAAGAAGGAUGCAGACCCAGAGGAAAGAGACAAUGCAGCAACUCUCAGUUUUUUGAUGUCUCGCCCAGCAUCUCUAACUCAAAAUUUUUUAUGAAGAUUAGGCAUUUUCUACCUCUGAAAGCAUAAAAGAUGAUAAUUAUUUCUGCUAUUUUCAUAGUCUCUUUUUGCUAAAUAACUACUAUGUGUCACAUAGGCGUGCCUUUUAAAGCUUUAUUAUGUGCUGGUAUUUAUUAUUCUCAUUUUCCAGAUAAGGAAACUGAAGUUCAGAAGGGUGCAAUAGCUACCCAGCUAUGGAAUAAAGGAUCAAGGACUUCUUGUGUCUUAAGGCAUUCAGUUCUCAAACUAAUAUGAGAGGGAGAUAGUAUUGUUAUUCUUUCCAUUGUUGAUUACUAUUUUGCCUAACACCCCUAUUUCCCUCUCUGCAGUGGCUCUCCCUGUGAGAGGAGUAUGCUUCUUGAUCACUGAAGGCUGACUAGGCGAUGCAGAAGGUGCUGUCAGCCGCGAAGGCACUGAUGGAGAACCAGCAUCAAGCAGUACAGUGGCCCCAGAUUUUGCUGAAGAAAGAAAGCACAAUAGGACAAAAAGAAGGGUCAUUUGUCUCUCAUGAUAUUUAUCAAAAAAUAGAGCUAGCUAUGGAGAGAUGGGAGGUGCCAACAGCAUCCUAUUCCUGGAAAUCCAAAGUACCACAGCAUCUGAAAGGUAUAGGAAGAUUGAAAGCACAAAUGAGAACCCAAGAAACACGGGGCAAGCAAGGACUCACAGGUGUUGAUUUCCAAGAAAGAUCUUGUUCUUCAAACUCUGUUACAGCAUCUUCUCUGGAGAAGUCAACAGUGAGAUGGGCUAAAUGA
rnacentral:lncRNA from 10 species